UGCAUCGGCCGGGAAUCGAACCCUGGCCCGCCCGCGUGGCAGGCGAGCAUUCUACCACUGAACCACCGAUGC